rnacentral:SRP_RNA from 1 species
GCUGGGUGCGGUGGCGGGUGCCUGUAAUCCCAGCUACUCAGGAGGCUGAGGCAGGAGAAUCGCUUGAACCCGGGAGGCAGAGGUUGCAGUGAGCCGAGAUCGCGCCACUGCACUCCAGCCUGGGUGACAGAGUGAGACUCUGUCUCAA